rnacentral:lncRNA from 1 species
ACAGGUUGGAGAUAACCUACUCAUUGUGUUCUGACCUCCAUCCUUAUAUUUUGGCACACAGGCACAAAUGGAUGGAUGGAAGGAUGGAUGGACGGACGGAUGGACCAAUGGAUGGAUGGCGGACAGACAGACAGAUUCCCUCUCAUAGGAUUUGCACGUGCAGCAAUAAGAUGCUAGAGCUGAUUGCUAAUUGCUUAAAUAUAUGAAGAAAUUUCAAGAGAGGCAGAACUACAAACAUUUUUCUGAAAGAAUGCACUCCAGUGUCUGCCUUUGACUUCCUUCUUAUAGAGGCAAUCCAAGGGCUCACCUGCUCCAACAGGAGAGUCUAGAAGAUGGUUGUGAAAACAGCAUCAAAUUAGAAGCAGUUGCACCUUGCUAUAGAAUGGAGAGCAAUAAGUGAGGCCGCUGUAGCUCAGAGUUCUGUAUGUUUUGUCCAUGCUCACUGAGCCCUAGUGCCACCAGUUAUGAAACAGUGUAAGAGAACAUCAAGAGCAAUGAUGGUAUGGGCACAUUCUGGUGUUCAACAUUUGCCCAUCUGCAUUGAUUGGAUAACCUAAGUACUCAACCUACUGACAGCAUGGACCCUUAAAGUUAAUUGUGAUUCCUUUUUCUUGGCAAAUGUUCCCAUGUACCCAUUUAGUUAAGAAAUAUGUAUUUAGUGCUAAAGAGAUGACUCCAGGUUAAGAGUGAAUGUUGCUUUUGCAGAGGACCCAACUUGGGUUCAAGGCAUCCACAUUGGAUGUUCACAACC